UUAAAAGAGCCCAUUUUCCAGGUUCCAGACUGUUGGAAAUAUAUGCUGAUUCCUGGGAGUAGGGGCAGGAAUUAUUACAUGAAAAAGUCCCAGUCAUUGGAAGAAUCCCAUAACCUCCCUGAUGAGCGAUGGCUACCCUUCACUUGAGGUCUGGUAGGGAAGGGUAGCUGUCCUGGCCCCUUUUACAUAGGUUCCUCAUGCCUCAUCCUGACCAUAACCCUGUGUGUGUGUCUCUGUUACACACACCCCACCCACACCACUGUGAGCUCCUGAAUGGCAGGGAGAGGAACUUCCUUAUAUCUCUGUCCCCUCAGUGCCCAGCUGGAUGCCUGGCUCAGAGCAGAGACUUGAUAAGUGUUGGUUGAUUGAAUAAGUGCCAUCUCACCAAGCCCAGAAUAUACCUUGUCUUAAUCUCUAUCUUCAGGGCCAAGUUCAAUGCCUGGCACUUAACUUGGUGCUCAAUAAUGUUAGGAAAAAAUGAGCUCAUAAUCACCAUCCUUUAAUUAUGAUUGUUAUGUUUUUACUUUUAGCUAAAUGCUAUUUCCACCUCCCCUCCCCUCCCCAUGACUUCUGUUUUAUCUGUUCACUCACUAAAGCAUAGUAUCCUGAAUGCCUAUUAUGGCCCCAAGCCCUGACGUAGGUACUUGGUGUAUACAGGUGAGUGAAAGAGGCAAAGUCCUUGCCCUACUGGAAUUUACAGUCAAGUAGUAGAACAGUGUUUGGCACAAAGUGUUAGCUGCUCUUAUUAUUACUUCUGUCAUCUUAUUUUUUCCCCUGUAAAUGUGAGACUUCUCAGUUUACCAGAUGUCUCUUUUUCUGUGUCCUACCUCUAUUGCACUAUAGUACUUUUUUUUUUUUUUUUAAGUUUUCUGUAGGUACUUUUCUUCCUUAGAAGCCCAAGUUCUGAUUUUUCUUUCUUUCAGCUCACAUGUACAGGUCUCUUGCUCUGAGCCUAGGGGCUAUGCUGGGCACGUGCUGUAGGACCCAGUGCCUGCCCUCGGAUCACAGCCACAAAACCACACUUUCGUUUACUCACCACCGUCCUUUCUCUUUCUCUCUCUGUCUUUUCCAGGGACACAGACUUCAUCUGGACGGGUUGUCUGCUUUGCUGAGGCUUUCAGUUUGCUGCUCCAGAGUUCCUGGAGGCAACCCGAUUUCUCCUGGGAUGGUCACUGAAGUCAAAUUUAAGUGGACCGAGUUUGCCAUGGCUGACACGUUCUUGUGA
rnacentral:lncRNA from 1 species